AUGGCUGACGCAGGUCAAAGAUUAUAUUACGGUUCUUUAUAUUAACUUAAUAUCUGAUACGGGUUCUAUUUGGCCCCAUAACCUUAAAGUUAUUUUAUACAAGCUGGCGGAGUGCCUGAAGCCUGCUUCACCUCCACCGAGUGUCAGCCCGGUAUUGCACUAUCUCCGGGAUCGGCCCACGGUUU